rnacentral:lncRNA from 1 species
GGAUAUAGGAGGCUCUGCAACAGCAUAUUCUACAAAGAAAAAGAUAAAUGAACAGAAUUCACUCUAAGAUUCGCCAUGGAUGUUUACUAGUCAACUUGAUGUCCCAAACCAUCUGCCUAUCUAAUACAGCUGAUCUUAAGUUCAUGCUUCACAGCUAUUGGAUGCCCCUUAACCAAAGACUUAGGGCUCAAAUAUUUGAAGAACACUGGAGUCAGGAGACCAGGAUUUCAGAUCUGACUGACACUAACUAGGCUCACCUGGGAGAAACCAGCUGCUCUGUAGGAAAUGCAAUGAUCCUGCGAACACCAUGCUAUGGGAAGCCCAAGCCAUGUGCAGAGGCCCUGGAGGAAGAGAUUCAAUGUGGCGAGCAAGAGACCACAUGCGUGAGGAAGCCAUCUUAGAAAUGGAUCCUUCAUCCCAUCCAUUCCAGUGUUCCAUGAAGAGCCCAAGGCUCUCAGGAACUGAAGCCCAAAGUGCUUAGUCAUCCAAGAUAUAUAUUACCUUACAGAGGAAGAAACUGGAACAUUUGUUCAGACUGCAGAAGAGCCCCUUUCUCUGCUGCUGUUGCUGCCAUCAACAGUAAACACUAGAAGUUUAGGAGCUGAAACCUCAUUGAUUGGCAGACUGCUCUGUCAAGACUAUGGAAUCAAUGGUAGUUUCUCAACAUGUGCUUUGGAGAAGAAGGGAAGACAAAUUAUCUGAGGUUCUCUAUAUUCCAGGAGGCCUGAACCUCCAGGAUUAGAUCCCCAGGUGAGCAGCUGACUCAGUUCUCACAUCUGCUGCCCUGCCCUCGUUCUGGAGUGACUGUCAGAAGGGGAUUGAGCCUCAGCCACCUGGCCUAGGGCCAGUCCUCCUCUCCAACAACCCAGAUCCUGGAGUUGUGUGCCUAGUUUUGGACUUUCCUUUCCAUCAAAUGACUUUCCCUCUAGAAAGUCCUUUCAUCUCUCCUGCAGGCAGCAUCUGUUGGAUUCACCCUAGUCCAGGAUUAAUCUAUGGCCAGAGGGCCACAUCCAGACCACUACCUGUUUUGGUAAAUAAAGUUUUAUCAGAACAUA